CAGCAGCCGCCGCGGGAAUACGAAGGGGGCUAGCGUUGCUCGGAAUCGCUGGGCGUAAAGGGUGCGUAGGCGGGUCUUUAAGUCAGGGGUGAAAUCCCGGGGCUCAACCCCGGAACUGCCUUUGAUACUGGAAGUCUUGAGUAUGGUAGAGGUGAGUGGAAUUCCGAGUGUAGAGGUGAAAUUCGUAGAUAUUCGGAGGAACACCAGUGGCGAAGGCGGCUCACUGGACCAUUACUGACGCUGAGGUGCGAAAGCGUGGGGAGCGAACAGGAUUAGAUACCCCUGUAGUCCCUGUCUCUUAUAC
rnacentral:rRNA from 1 species